GCGCGUGUGGCGGAAUUGGCAGACGCACUAGACUUAGGAUCUAGCGUCUUUGGCGUGGGGGUUCAAGUCCCUCCACGUGCA
rnacentral:tRNA from 1 species